UACAGAGGGUGCGAGCGUUAAUCGGAAUUACUGGGCGUAAAGCGUGCGCAGGCGGUUGGGCAAGACAGAUGUGAAAUCCCCGGGCUUAACCUGGGAACUGCGUUUGAAACUACAAGGCUAGAGUGUGGCAGAGGGGGGUGGAAUUCCACGUGUAGCAGUGAAAUGCGUAGAGAUGUGGAGGAACACCGAUGGCGAAGGCAGCCCCCUGGGUUAACACUGACGCUCAGGCACGAAAGCGUGGGGAGCAAACAGG
rnacentral:rRNA from 1 species